UACGUAGGGUGCGAGCGUUGUCCGGAAUUAUUGGGCGUAAAGAGCUUGUAGGCGGUCUGUCGCGUCUGCUGUGAAAAUCCGGGGCUCAACCCCGGACUUGCAGUGGGUACGGGCAGACUAGAGUGUGGUAGGGGAGACUGGAAUUCCUGGUGUAGCGGUGGAAUGCGCAGAUAUCAGGAGGAACACCGGUGGCGAAGGCGGGUCUCUGGGCCGUAACUGACGCUGAGGAGCGAAAGCAUGGGGAGCGAACAGG
rnacentral:rRNA from 1 species